GACGAACCGUGCGAACGUUAUUCGGAAUCACUGGGCUUAAAGCGCGUGUAGGCGGGAAGGCACGUCUGUCGCUGAAAUCCCCCGGCUCAACCGGGAACGGGCGCGGAUACGACCCUCCUGGAGGAACGUAGGGGACCUGGAACUUCCGGUGGAGCGGUGAAAUGCGUUGAGAUCGGAAGGAACGCCCGUGGCGAAAGCGAGGUCCUGGACGUUUUCUGACGCUGAGACGCGAAAGCCAGGGAGCGAACGGG
rnacentral:rRNA from 1 species